rnacentral:rRNA from 1 species
CUGGCGGCGUGCCUAACACAUGCAAGUCGAGCGAGAAAGGGUAGCAAUACCUGAGUACAGCGGCGCACGGGUGAGUAACACGUGGAUAACCUGCCUCGAAGUGGGGGAUAACACCGGGAAACCGGUGCUAAUACCGCAUAAUCUGACGAGAUCUGCGGAUUUUGUCAGCAAAGGAGCAACUCGCUUUGAGAGGGGUCCGCGGCUGAUUAGCUAGUUGGUGAGGUAAUGGCUCACCAAGGCAACGAUCAGUAGCCGGUCUGAGAGGACGGUCGGCCACACUGGAACUGAGACACGGUCCAGACUCCUACGGGAGGCAGCAGUGGGGAAUUUUUGGCAAUGGGGGAAACCCUGACCAAGCAACGCCGCGUGGAUGAUGAAGUAUCUCGGUACGUAAAAUCCUUUCGACGGGGACGAAGCCGCAAGGUUGACGGUACCCGUAGAAGAAGCCCCGGCUAACUCCGUGCCAGCAGCCGCGGUAAUACGGGGGGGGCAAGCGUUGUUCGGAAUUACUGGGCGUAAAGGGCGCGUAGGCGGCUCGCUAAGUCGGGUGUGAAAACUCUGGGCUCAACCCAGAGCCUGCAUUCGAAACUGACGAGCUGGAGUACUGGAGGGGAAAGCGGAAUUCCUGGUGUAGCGGUGAAAUGCGUAGAUAUCAGGAGGAACACCGGUGGCGAAGGCGGCUUUCUGGACAGUAACUGACGCUGAUGCGCGAAA